rnacentral:rRNA from 1 species
UACGGAGGGUGCAAGCGUUAUCCGGAUUUACUGGGUUUAAAGGGUGCGUAGGUGGGUAGGUAAGUCAGUGGUGAAAUCUUCGAGCUUAACUCGGAAACUGCCAUUGAUACUAUUUAUCUUGAAUACUCUGGAGGUAAGCGGAAUAUGUUAUGUAGCGGUGAAAUGCUUAGAUAUGACAUAGAACACCAAUUGCGAAGGCAGCUUACUACAUAGUUAUUGACACUGAGGCACGAAAGCGUGGGGAUCAAACAGG